GACGAACGCUGGCGGCGUGCUUAACACAUGCAAGUCGAACGGUGAAAGCGGAGCUUGCUCCGCUGGAUCAGUGGCGAACGGGUGAGUAACACGUGGGCAACCUGCCCCUCACUUCGGGAUAACUCCGGGAAACCGGGGCUAAUACCGGAUAUGACCUCCUUGGGCAUCCAUGGAGGUGGAAAGUUUUUCGGUGAGGGAUGGGCCCGCGGCCUAUCAGCUUGUUGGUGAGGUAGUGGCUCACCAAGGCGACGACGGGUAGCCGGCCUGAGAGGGGGACCGGCCACACUGGGACUGAGACACGGCCCAGACUCCUACGGGAGGCAGCAGUGGGGAAUAUUGCGCAAUGGGCGAAAGCCUGACGCAGCAACGCCGCGUGCGGGAUGACGGCCUUCGGGUUGUAAACCUCUUUUAGUAGGGAAGAAGCGAAGGUGACGGUACCUGCAGAAAAAGCACCGGCUAACUACGUGCCAGCCGCCGCCGUAA
rnacentral:rRNA from 1 species